GAUAGAAGCAAUAUGCAUCUCGAUAUUUUGAAAUAUAUUCAAAAUUGUUCAACUACAUUAAAUUAAUGCCAAAAGUAGGAGACCCCGCGAAUAGUUGUGAGGACUAUGCUGAUAAAACUAGGAAUUUUACUUAGGAGCAAAGAUCAUCAAUCCUAAAAUAUUUAUGUGACAAUGUUCAUCCAAUCACCUUGCAACACCUAGAUGUACAUGUACCAAGUCUAAUUCAUGUCACUAUUACAUGCACUUUGAUACACAGACCAUCCAACUUUGAUUCAGGCUUUUUACAUCAUAUGGCUGAUCUAGAUGCUGUUUUAAGAGCACAGUCUGUACUGUUUGUGAUUGAAGAAGAAGUGGAAACAAAGCCAGAAAAUCUGUUGAGUCAUACAGAUAUUCUGUUUAAUAUGUCCCGAAACACAAACUUCAGCGAAGACCUACUUUAGAAAAGAUGCAUGGCAGCUUGUUUUAAAUACUCUCAAAGUAUUAGAAGAUAUGUAUAUUAGUAACACUCCGAAGUAUUAUGAUAAGAUUUCUCCAUGCCAGACAAGAAAAGGCAAAGCUUUAAUAGGUCCAGUUGAAGGAAGAAUAUUCAAAAAGUUUUCAAAAAGGACAUCAGACCAGAUUAAAUCAAGAAAAAGAAGUGUGGACAAUUCUUCAUUAAAAGCUAGGAAAUCCUUUACAAAUGAAGAUAUAGUUUUCCAUUAAAAGCUAGGAAAUCCCUUACAAGUGAAGAUAGUUCUCCAUUAAAAGCUAGGAAAUCCCUUACAAGUGAAGAUAGUUCUCCAUUAAAAGCUAGGAAAUCCCUUACAAGUGAAGAUAGUUCUCCAUUAAAAGCAAUAAAAGGAAUGCCCACCUUUUUAGUUAUAAAAGCAAAAGAAAUGAAAGCUGAAAUUAUAGAGUAUCUGCAGAAUUAUAAGCCAUUUAAAUCAUUGCCAAAAGUUGGAGAUCCUGUUUAACCAUUAUGUUGACAACACUAGAGGCAUAUCUGAGGA